rnacentral:rRNA from 1 species
AGCGAACGCUGGCGGCAGGCCUAACACAUGCAAGUCGAACGGACCCUUCGGGGUUAGUGGCGAACGGGUGAGUAAUACAUCGGAACGUGCCUAGUAGUGGGGGAUAACUACUCGAAAGAGUGGCUAAUACCGCAUGAGAUCUACGGAUGAAAGCAGGGGAUCGCAAGAACUUGUGCUACUAGAGCGGCCGAUGGCAGAUUAGGUAGUUGGUGGGAUAAAAGCUUACCAAGCCGACGAUCUGUAGCUGGUCUGAGAGGACGAUCAGCCACACUGGGACUGAGACACGGCCCAGACUCCUACGGGAGGCAGCAGUGGGGAAUUUUGGACAAUGGGCGCAAGCCUGAUCCAGCAAUGCCGCAUGCAGGAUGAAGGCCUUCGGGUUGUAAACUGCUUUUGUACGGAACGAAAAGCCCCGGGUUAAUACCCUGGGGUCAUGACGGUACCGUAAGAAUAAGCACCGGCUAACUACGUGCCAGCAGCCGCAGUAA